GUUACACCUGUUUGGAUUACCCCAACGUUCCAUUGCUACUCACAUUCGACAACUGAAGUCCAAUGAUGCAAAUGAUCAACACUGUUCCGCUCAGCUGGAAGAAUAUGUUGGCGUGGGAAAGAUCCUUGGUCCGUUGUUGUCGAACAGCGGCAUCAGAGCCCACAGUGAACAAGUGGUGAACGCGCUGGUGAAGAAGAAAGUGCACAGUCGCCUGAUGAUGCGUGCUUGUACGAAAAGACGCCUGCAGGACAUAGGUACACAUAGUGGACAUUUUCCAUUAGUAAACACUGUAGUUUUGUAACACAACGACGCCUGGGUAAACAGCAGGAACGAAGACUCAAACAUCUCGUCCAAGUCCCCAAAAACCAUCGCUAUGUAGACGAGUUCAAAUAGCAAGAAGCUGUAUUGACUG